GGAUGUGAGGGUGAUCUGGCUGCAACAUCUGUCACCCCACUGAUCACCAGGCUUGAUUCUGCUGAUCUGGCUGGCUAGGCGGGUGUCCCCUUCCUCCCUCACCGCUCCAUGUGCGUCCCUCCCGAAGCUGCACGCUUGGUUGAAGAGGAUGGCCUUCCCUGAAUAGAGAAUGACGGGUCAUCUGGUUGAGGGUAUAUGAGUAGCUGCGCUCCCCUGCUACAACCUCCAAACAAGCUCUCAAGGUCCAAAGCUCCUUUGUAAUGCGGGCUCAGCUCAAACCCGGGUCUUU
rnacentral:snRNA from 1 species